rnacentral:rRNA from 1 species
GACGAACGCUGGCGGCGUGCUUAACACAUGCAAGUCGAACGAAGAGCGACGGAAGCUUGCUUCUAUCAAUCUUAGUGGCGCACGGGUGAGUAACGCGUAAUCAACCUGCCCUUCAGAGGGGGACAACAGUUGGAAACGACUGCUCAUACCGCAUACGAUCUAAUCUCGGCAUCGAGGAUGGAUGAAAGGUGGCCUCUACAUGUAAGCUAUCACUGAAGGAGGGGAUUGCGUCUGAUUAGCUAGUUGGAGGGGUAACGGCCCACCAAGGCGAUGAUCAGUAGCCGGUCUGAGAGGAUGAACGGCCACAUUGGGACUGAGACACGGCCCAGGCUCCUACGGGAGGCAGCAGUGGGGAAUCUUCCGCAAUGGACGAAAGGCUGACGGAGCAACGCCGCGUGAGGGAUGACGGCCUUCGGGUUGGAAAGCUCUGUUAAUCGGGACGAAAGGCCUUCUUGCGAAUAGUGAGAAGGAUUGACGGUACCGGAAUAGAAAGCCACGGCUAACUACGUG